AUUGCCUCAGCAGCUGCGGAGAGAGGAUGCUGCGAAACACAGAGAAAUCUGUAGGGGAGAGAAGACGGAGCGCUCAGAAUUAAACUGCGCUUUUUUAAGAGAGGGGGAGGACCACGUACUUUCAAUGGAAAGACAGGUAAUGAACCUCUGGCUGCAUUAGGAGGGGACAGAAGACUUCUGCAAAAGAUGCUGAUGAUCAUCUAAUCAUCUUUAGGUAGAACUAAUGGGUGUGUAGUUAUCUGUGAUCAUGUGGUCUGGACUAGAAGCCAGAGGGAUUAGGACAGCAGAUUGAACCCAGAAGAAGCGAAGCACUGACACCCUGACUGCACUUCUGGCGAUGCUGUAGCAGCACGGAAUGGUUUGUGGGUUACACAGAGAUGCAGGCCAUACUGUGCUGCCGCAGAAGAGCCUGAAAAUACGACCUCACACCCCUUCAACCUGUGUAACUAGUAACGUGUUUACUGUUCUAAAUGUACACAACUGUUUUCCUGAUGAUUAAAAGUUGUUUGGAUGUGCCUUUGCUGGUCGCCUUACUGUAGCAGCACGUAAAUAUUGGAGUUAAGACUUUAGCUGAAGCCUCCAGUAUUGAUCGUGCUGCUGAAGCAAAGCUGAUCACUCACAAUCAGCACAACCAAGCUAACCCGUCACUACAGGCUGAAUGGGGACGGACACCCACAGGUACAUCGUUUAUGCACAACCACUACUUUGUUCUAAUAGUUCAUGUGUUGAUGCCAUCUUUACAUUUCACUGUUCUGUCUGCACACUUGAAAAAUAAAAAUUUGAAUUGGCUUUUGA